rnacentral:rRNA from 1 species
UUAAGUUAUUAAGGGCGCACGGUGGAUGCCUUGGCACUAGAAGCCGAUGAAGGACGUUACUAACGACGAUAUGCUUUGGGGAGCUGUAAGUAAGCGUUGAUCCAGAGAUUUCCGAAUGGGGAAACCCAGCAUGAGUUAUGUCAUGUUAUCGAUAUGUGAAUACAUAGCAUAUCAGAAGGCAGACCCGGAGAACUGAAACAUCUUAGUACCCGGAGGAAGAGAAAGAAAAAUCGAUUCCCUGAGUAGCGGCGAGCGAAACGGGAAGAGCCCAAACCAACAAGCUUGCUUGUUGGGGUUGUAGGACACUCUAUACGGAGUUACAAAAGUAUAUAUUAGACGAAUCAUCUGGAAAGUUGAAUCAAAGAAGGUAAUAAUCCUGUAGUCGAAAAUAUAUACUCUCUUGAGUGGAUCCUGAGUACGACGGAGCACGUGAAAUUCCGUCGGAAUCUGGGAGGACCAUCUCCUAAGGCUAAAUACUCUCUAGUGACCGAUAGUGAACCAGUACCGUGAGGGAAAGGUGAAAAGUACCCCGGAAGGGGAGUGAAAGAGAACUUGAAACCGUGUGCUUACAAGUAGUCAGAGCCCGUUAAUGGGUGAUGGCGUGCCUUUUGUAGAAUGAACCGGCGAGUUACGAUUUGAUGCAAGGUUAAGCAGCUAAUGUGGAGCCGUAGCGAAAGCGAGUCUGAAUAGGGCGUUUAGUAUUUGGUCGUAGACCCGAAACCAGGUGAUCUACCCUUGGUCAGGUUGAAGUUCAGGUAACACUGAAUGGAGGACCGAACCGACUUACGUUGAAAAGUGAGCGGAUGAACUGAGGGUAGCGGAGAAAUUCCAAUCGAACUUGGAGAUAGCUGGUUCUCUCCGAAAUAGCUUUAGGGCUAGCCUCAAGUGAUGAUUAUUGGAGGUAGAGCACUGUUUGGACGAGGGGCCCUUCUCGGGUUACCGAAUUCAGACAAACUCCGAAUGCCAAUCAAUUUAACUUGGGAGUCAGAACAUGGGUGAUAAGGUCCGUGUUCGAAAGGGAAACAGCCCAGACCACCAGCUAAGGUCCCAAAAUAUAUGUUAAGUGGAAAAGGAUGUGGCGUUGCCCAGACAACUAGGAUGUUGGCUUAGAAGCAGCCAUCAUUUAAAGAGUGCGUAAUAGCUCACUAGUCGAGUGACACUGCGCCGAAAAUGUACCGGGGCUAAACAUAUUACCGAAGCUGUGGAUUGUCCGUAGGACAAUGGUAGGAGAGCGUUCUAAGGGCGUCGAAGCAUGAUCGCAAGGACAUGUGGAGCGCUUAGAAGUGAGAAUGCCGGUGUGAGUAGCGAAAGACGGGUGAGAAUCCCGUCCACCGAUUGACUAAGGUUUCCAGAGGAAGGCUCGUCCGCUCUGGGUUAGUCGGGUCCUAAGCUGAGGCCGACAGGCGUAGGCGAUGGAUAACAGGUUGAUAUUCCUGUACCACCUAGUAUCGUUUUAAUCGAUGGGGGGACGCAGUAGGAUAGGCGAAGCGUGCUAUUGGAUUGCACGUCCAAGCAGUAAGACUGAGUGUUAGGCAAAUCCGGCACUCAUAAGGUCAAGCUGUGAUGGGGAGAGGAAAUUGUUUCCUCGAGUCGUUGAUUUCACACUGCCAAGAAAAGCCUCUAGAUAGAUAACAGGUGCCCGUACCGCAAACCGACACAGGUAGUCAAGAUGAGAAUUCUAAGGUGAGCGAGCGAACUCUCGUUAAGGAACUCGGCAAAAUGACCCCGUAACUUCGGGAGAAGGGGUGCUCUUUAGGGUUAACGCCCAGAAGAGCCGCAGUGAAUAGGCCCAAGCGACUGUUUAUCAAAAACACAGGUCUCUGCUAAACCGUAAGGUGAUGUAUAGGGGCUGACGCCUGCCCGGUGCUGGAAGGUUAAGAGGAGUAGUUAGCUUCUGCGAAGCUACGAAUCGAAGCCCCAGUAAACGGCGGCCGUAACUAUAACGGUCCUAAGGUAGCGAAAUUCCUUGUCGGGUAAGUUCCGACCCGCACGAAAGGCGUAACGAUUUGGGCACUGUCUCAACGAGAGACUCGGUGAAAUCAUAGUACCUGUGAAGAUGCAGGUUACCCGCGACAGGACGGAAAGACCCCGUGGAGCUUUACUGUAGCCUGAUAUUGAAAUUCGGCACAGCUUGUACAGGAUAGGUAGGAGCCUUUGAAACGUGAGCGCUAGCUUACGUGGAGGCAUUGGUGGGAUACUACCCUAGCUGUGUUGACUUUCUAACCCGCACCACUUAUCGUGGUGGGAGACAGUGUCAGGUGGGCAGUUUGACUGGGGCGGUCGCCUCCUAAAAGGUAACGGAGGCGCUCAAAGGUUCCCUCAGAAUGGUUGGAAAUCAUUCAUAGAGUGUAAAGGCAUAAGGGAGCUUGACUGCGAGACUUACAAGUCGAGCAGGGUCGAAAGACGGACUUAGUGAUCCGGUGGUUCCGCAUGGAAGGGCCAUCGCUCAACGGAUAAAAGCUACCCCGGGGAUAACAGGCUUAUCUCCCCCAAGAGUUCACAUCGACGGGGAGGUUUGGCACCUCGAUGUCGGCUCAUCGCAUCCUGGGGCUGUAGUCGGUCCCAAGGGUUGGGCUGUUCGCCCAUUAAAGCGGUACGCGAGCUGGGUUCAGAACGUCGUGAGACAGUUCGGUCCCUAUCCGUCGUGGGCGUAGGAAAUUUGAGAGGAGCUGUCCUUAGUACGAGAGGACCGGGAUGGACAUACCUCUGGUGUACCAGUUGUCGUGCCAGCGGCAUAGCUGGGUAGCUAUGUAUGGACGGGAUAAGUGCUGAAAGCAUCUAAGCAUGAAGCCCCCCUCAAGAUGAGAUUUCCCAACUUCGGUUAUAAGAUCCCUCAAAGAUGAUGAGGUUAAUAGGUUCGAGGUGGAAGCGUGGUGACAUGUGGAGCUGACGAAUACUAAUCGAUCGAAGACUUAAUC